CUUGAUCGAGCCGAGCCGCAGCGGCUCGUCCCGGUCCUGGCCGUAGGUCGCCAGGAGCGCCUGCGCCUC
rnacentral:antisense_RNA from 1 species